GUCAACCCCACCCCCAGUACCUUCAACCUCCGCAGAUGCAUGAACCAUCACCACCCUCCUCUCCCCGAAACACAAACCAGUAAAUAUCUUCCCUCCAUUGGAAGAUCUUGGUUGCAAGACGAGGCUUCUCCGCAGCAUCCCAUUGGAGAGAGCGGAUUUGAUGGGGAUUGAUGGUGGAGGAGAGGAAGAAGAUGCAUAGAGGUAGGGGAGAGGAGAGAGAAG
rnacentral:misc_RNA from 1 species